rnacentral:tRNA from 2 species
ACUAUUUUGACAGAUAAAUGUGAUGAUUUUAGAAGUCAUAAAUAUAUAAUUAUAUUAUAUAGAUAGUA